rnacentral:lncRNA from 1 species
AGAAAAAGUUUGGGAGAGCACUUGUAUGUUCCUGCUUGCUUGCUUGUGCCUCUGCCACCCUGAGGUCAUGCUCAGGCUAGCCUGCUGAAGGGUAAGAAAUGCAUGGAGCAGAGUCAAAUUGUCCCAAUUGUCCCAGCUAACGUCAGCUGCCAGAUCCACCGACAGCCAGACGUGUGAGCAAUCAGGCAAGAUUAGUUCCUAGCUAACCACCCUAGGUCUCCUUUAACACCGAUCAUUGGCUUCAUUUCAGAGUGAUCCUAUUGUUUGAAUCAACUUUGUGUAAAGAUAUGAGUUUAUCUCUAAUAAAUUAUUCUGUUGGCCAAAAACCACAAGGGAUCUCCAAGGAAGUCAUUAGAUUUUAAAGAAAAGCAUUGUCAUAAACUGCUUUCAAGUUGAAAUAAAAAUAACUUCACAACGAAUCACAUGUGUGAAGCAGGGUGUUUUGGAUACAUUUCCUCUGUCUCAAAGCCUGAAACCUCUUCAAAAGUUCAUCUGACCUACGGAUUUUGACAAACUAGAGUUUAAACUGAGGAAGACAAAAAACGCAUUUGUAGAGAAACUUUAAUAUUAUUUCAGGUAUGAAUCUAGUCAUGCACAGUCACCUCAAUUUGGGUCCAAACAAAUAGCGCAUUUUUAGUAAUAGAAACGAGAACAUUGCCUCAUGUGCACAUAUUGAGUGUGUAAUCAGGUUAGUAAAAAUUCAAGCAGUUACUCAAUGCUGAAGUGACUGAAUAAAGAGUGUAGUAUCUCUGCACAGCAAAGGAAACAGUCAACAGAGUUAGAGGCAGCUUACAGGAUGGGAGAAAAGAGUUUCAAAUGAUACUACUUAUAAGGAGUUAAUAUCCAAAGUGUAUAAGGAACUCAAACAAUUUAAUAGCAAGAAAACAACCUGAUUUUUUUUAAAAAUGGAAAAAUGACUCAAAUAGACAUUUUUUCAAAAUAAGACAUACCAGUUGUCAACAAGUAUAUUUAAAAAUGCUCAAUAUCACUAAUUAUCAAGG